GACGAACGCUGGCGGCGUGCUUAACACAUGCAAGUCGAACGGAAAGGCCCUGCUUUUGUGGGGUGCUCGAGUGGCGAACGGGUGAGUAACAAGUGAGUAACCUGCCCUUGACUUUGGGAUAACUUCAGGAAACUGGGGCUAAUACCGGAUAGGAGCUCCUGCUGCAUGGUGGGGGUUGGAAAGUUUCGGUGGUUGGGGAUGGAGUCGCGGCUUAUGAGCUUGUUGGUGGGGUAGUGGCUUACCAAGGCUUUGGCGGGUAGCCGGCCUGGGAGGGUGACCGGCUACGGUGGCAUUGGGACGGGGCCCAGGCCCCGACGGGGGCGGGAGGGGGGAGUUGGGAAAUAUGGGCAAGGGGCGAAAUCCGGCAGCGCCGCGGGCGGGGGAUUGACAUGGCGUUUGGGUCCCACAAACCCUUUGGACAGGGCGAAAAUGACAGUACUAGAAAAAGAAGGUCCGGCUAACUACGUG
rnacentral:rRNA from 1 species